GAACGCUUGCUGCAUGCUUUAUACAUGCAAGUCGAACGAAGGCCCUAGCUUGCUAGGUGUCCUUAGUGGCGCACGGGUGAGUAACACGUGGGAACAUACCUUAUAGUACGGAAUAACUGCGGGAAACUGUAGCUAAUACCGUAUAUUCCAGCAAUGGGAAAGAUUUAUCGCUAUAAGAUUGGCCCGCGCAAGAUUAGCUUGUUGGUGAGGUAAAAGCUCACCAAGGCUUCGAUCUUUAGCUGGUUUGAGAGGAUGAUCAGCCACACUGGGACUGAGACACGGCCCAGACUCCUACGGGAGGCAGCAGUAGGGAAUAUUGGACAAUGGGGGCAACCCUGAUCCAGCAAUGCAGCGUGAGUGACGAAGGCCUUAGGGUUGUAAAACUCUUUCAUCGGUGAGGAUAAUGACAGUAGCCGAAGAAGAAGGACCGG
rnacentral:rRNA from 1 species